AUGUUGAUCUCCUGGCAGUCCCCACAAUGCAUAGCAAUAUGGGGGCAGCGAAGCAGUGGGGACGGGGGGUUGGGAGGGGGGGGGGGGUGUACUCUGUACUUGUCAGCUGUCUCAACAUUGAGUGAACAGCAUGGCACGUCUCUGCCAGGCCCAUUUGGAGGCUAUGUGUGCAAAGGGAACCUACUGUUACCUUAUGAAAUGCACUGUCACAGCACUGUCAACCAAUAUUGUGUCUCCAUGACAGGCACCAUCCAGCAACUAAAGACAGCCAGGCUGAAUGUAGAGUGAGCAGACUCACUUCUCUGCUGCAGGUUCUUACUAUCUCUCUGCCUCCAUCUUUGUUGGUGUAUGUUCUGAAUCUGUGAGGGACAGGAUACUCAGUGCAGGAAUAAAUCACAUGAAAUAUUGGGCUGGAAAAGAUCUGUCAGUUGCAUUCAAAGUGCAUCCAGUAAUUCCUAUCAGCCAGUAACUAUGGGGCAUAUGCAGCUAAGGAGGUCAAACCACCCUGGGUUAUAAUGUAGAUCAAUAGAUGCUCUGUGCCUGCAUGUGACAGGAGGAGUUUGUAACUUGCUUUGGUUGUCGAGGAAGAGAGGGAGAGGAGGAGGUGAGGGGGAGGUGGGGACAGCCAGACAGACUUCUGUGUUUAGAAGCGUCUGGAUGUGGAGGUCAUGGAGGAACGGGACAUGGAGACACCACCACCGCCGCCGCUCAUGCCGAAUCCACUGCCGCCGCCACCACCGCUCAUGCCGAAUCCACCGCCGCCACCGCUCAUGCCGAAUCCACCGCCGCCACCGCCACCGCUGCUCAUGCCGAAGCCGCCACUGCUUUUCAUGGACAUGCUACUGCCACC
rnacentral:lncRNA from 13 species